rfam:Myotis brandtii contig270822, whole genome shotgun sequence.
AGUCCUCGAAAAAGAGAGGCAGGUUCUGAUUCAUAGCCUCCAUGGCAGCUGUUGAUCAGCACUUGCCUCUCUCUUUCGCUCUG